rnacentral:rRNA from 1 species
GAUGAACGCUGGCGGCGUGCCUAAUACAUGCAAGUCGAGCGAACAGACGAGGAGCUUGCUCCUCUGACGUUAGCGGCGGACGGGUGAGUAACACGUGGAUAACCUACCUAUAAGACUGGGAUAACUUCGGGAAACCGGAGCUAAUACCGGAUAAUAUAUUGAACCGCAUGGUUCAAUAGUGAAAGACGGUGUUGCUGUCACUUAUAGAUGGAUCCGCGCCGCAUUAGCUAGUUGGUAAGGUAACGGCUUACCAAGGCAACGAUGCGUAGCCGACCUGAGAGGGUGAUCGGCCACACGGGAACUGAGACACGGUCCAGACUCCUACGGGAGGCAGCAGUAGGGAAUCUUCCGCAAUGGGCGAAAGCCUGACGGAGCAACGCCGCGUGAGUGAUGAAGGUCUUCGGAUCGUAAAACUCUGUUAUUAGGGAAGAACAAAUGUGUAAGUAACUAUGCACGUCUUGACGGUACCUAAUCAGAAAGCCACGGCUAACUACGUG